CAUCCAUUUUAACAUUUUUUCACUGUUAUCAUUCCCACUGAUUCUUUGAACAUGGAAAGUGCAAUUUCUUGGAGCAGAGAAGAAGAGAAAGCUUUUGAGAAUGCAAUUGCUACCCAUUGGACUAAGGAGGAAGAGGACUCCAAAGAGCUGUGGGAAAAGAUUGCUUCUUUGGUGCCAAGUAAAAGUAUUCAAGAAUUGAAACUACACUACCAAUUACUAGUGGAGGAUGUUAGUGCAAUAGAGGCAGGAAAUAUUCCACUUCCUAACUAUGUAGGAGAGGAAGCUACUUCUUCAGCUAAGGAUUCUCAUGGAAGUUCUGGGGCUGGUGGCUACAGAUAAGAGAUUGAAUUGUGGUUAUGGAAGUGGGUUUUUUGGGUUAGGACAUAACUCGUCCGGACAUGGAGGAAAAGGAGGAUA
rnacentral:misc_RNA from 1 species